AUGAAUUACUUAAGCUGGAACUACCGAGGAGGGGGGAAUUCCCAGACAGUUCGAGAGCUGACGACCUUAUGUAGGUCACAUUCCCCCAUGUUUGUGUUCUUGUGUGAAACGAGACAGAAGGAAGCGAAGAUGAAGAGGUUGAGAGGUCGGCUGGGACUGAAGGGUUUUUGUGGCGUUGAUAGUUCUGACAUGAGCGGUGGCUUGGCAGUAUAUUGGCAUGAAAUUGUGUGGUGGAAGUGCUAG
rnacentral:rRNA from 1 species